UGACCCAGUUUCAAAUUUGACCUAGAUAUCAUCAAGGUGAACAGUCUGACCAAUUUUUAUGGAGAUCCAUUCACAAGUAUGGCCUCUAGAGAGGUCACAAGGUUUUUCUAUUUUUAGACCUACUGACCUAGUUUUUGACCACACAUGACCCUGUCUCGAUCUUGACCUAGAUAUCAUCAAGAUGAACAUUCAGACCAAUUUUCAUACAGAUCCCAUGAAAUAUAUGGCCUCUAGAGAGGUCACAAGGUUUUUCUAUUUUUAGACCUACUGACCUAGUUUUUGAUGGAACGUGACCCACUUUCGAACUUGACCUAGAUAUCAUCAAGGUGAACAUUCUGACCAAUUUUCAUGAAGAUCUUGUGAAAUAUAUGGCCUCUAGAGAGGUCACAAGGUUUUUCUAUUUUUAGACCUACUGACCUAGUUUUUGACGGCACGUGACCCAGUUUCGAACUUGACCUAGAUAUCAUCAAGAUGAACAUUCUGACCAACUUUCAUAAAGAUCCCAUGAAAAAUGUGACCUCUAGAGUGGUCACAAGCAAAAGUUUACGGACGGACGGACGCACGCUUGGACAGACGGACGACGGACACCGCACGAUCACAAAAGCUCACCUUGUCACUUUGUGACAGGUGAGCUAAAAAGUCAUAUGACCUUUGACCCCUGUGACCUUGACAUUGAAUUUAGCAUCCGAAACAUGCGCUCUGCACAUCCUUUCAAUGAGUGAACAUUUGUGUCGGGUUUCUCUGAAAUCCAUCAAGGGGUUCAAGAGUUACAGAGCGGAAGGGAAAUUGCUAACCAACACACAGACAGACAGAUGGACACCGAGGUGAUAACAUAACACGUCCCUGCGGGCGUAUAAAAAAGAACAGAGAUCUUAUGGUGAUACAAGUUGUGUGCAAGUUUGGUUAAAAUCAAAUCAUAAAUGAAGCUGCUAUUGUGCAGACAAGGUCAAAGUAGCCAAUUUUGGCCCUUUCAGGGGCCACAACUCUGGAACCCAUUAUCGGAUCUGGCCGGUUCAAGAAUGGAACCAAGAUCUUUUGGUGACACAAGUUUUGUGCAAGUUUGAUUAAAUUCAAAUCAUAAAUGAAGCUGCUAUUGUGCAGACAAGGUCAAAAUAGUUAAUUCCGGCCCUAUCAGGGGCCAUAACUCUGGAACCCAUUAAGGGAUCUAGCCGGUUCAAGAAAGGAACCAAGAUCUUAUGGUGACACAAGUUCAGUUAAAAUCAAAUCGUAAAUGAAGCUGCUAUUGGGCAGACAAGGUCAAAAUAGCUAAUUCUAACCCCUUCAGGGGCCAUAACUCUGGAACCCAUAAUGAAAUCUGGCCAGUUCCAGAAAGGAACCAAGAUCUUGUGGUGAUACAAGUUGUGUGCAAGUUUGGUAAAAAUCAAAUCAUAAAUAAAGCUGCUAUUGUGCAGACAAGCUCAAAAUAGCUAAUUUUGGCCCUUUCAGGGGCCAUAACUCUGGAACCCAUAAUGGGAUCUGGCCAGUUCAAGAAAGGAACCGAGAUCUUAUGGUGAUACAAGUUGUGUGCAAGUUCGGUUAAAAUAAAAUCAUAAAUGAAACCAUUAUCGUGCAGACAAGAAAUUGUUGACGGACGGACGACGGACAAAGGGUUAUCACAAAAGCUCACCUUGUCACUAUGUGACAGGUGAGCUAAAAAGCCGUUUUUUGUUAACUCAAGGGCCAUAACUCCAAUACGCCUGGACCGAUUUUGCUAGUUAUCGAACUUGGCCGAGGUCUUGUGGUCAAACACAUUUUGUUUAAGUUUGGUGAAAAUCGGACGAGAAAUGUUCGACUUGGUGUGCGGACAAGCUUUGUGACAGACAGACUGGAGUAAAUCAAUAUGUCUCCCACACCACUGUGUGGUGGGAGACAUAAUAAACGGAGGUAAUUCGACAUAAAAUCAGUCCAUAGUUAUCUACCCUGAUUGUCUUAUCCAACUAAUAACAAUAAUGAAAUUUCAAAUAAGUCCUGUAAGUACUUACUGAUAUAAAUCCAUUUUGAUUCCAAUCAGGGGAGGUAAUCAGAUAUAAAAUAACUCUGGAACCUACGACUGGAUCUGAUUUGUCAUGGA